rnacentral:rRNA from 1 species
GAUGAACGCUGGCGGCGUGCCUAAUACAUGCAAGUCGAGCGAAUGGAUUAAGAGCUUGCUCUUAUGAAGUUAGCGGCGGACGGGUGAGUAACACGUGGGUAACCUGCCCAUAAGACUGGGAUAACUCCGGGAAACCGGGGCUAAUACCGGAUAACAUUUUGAACCGCAUGGUUCGAAAUUGAAAGGCGGCUUCGGCUGUCACUUAUGGAUGGACCCGCGUCGCAUUAGCUAGUUGGUGAGGUAACGGCUGACCAAGGCAACGAGUCGUAGCCGACCGGGGGAGGUGAUAGUGCACACUGGGACUGAGACACGGCCCAGCCUCCUACGGGAGGCAGCAGUAGCGAAUCAUCCGCAAUGGACGAAAGACUGACGGAGCAACGCCGCGUGAGUGAUGAAGGCUUUCGGGUCGUAAAACUCUGUUGUUAGGGAAGAACAAGGGCUAGUUGAAUAAGCUGGCACCUUGAUGGUACCUAACCAGAAAGCCACGGCUAACUACGUGCCAGCAGCCGCCGUAA